GUAUUACAUCAAAUUUGACAACUGCAUCACCUGCUUUGAAUACCACGGCUAAUGCAAGAACGAGUGCUGCAAACAACAUAUCUACAACCAAGACAUCUGCACUGGCACCUGCAACAGCAGCGCCUUCAACUGCAACUCAAACCGCUUUACCUGGAACUAAAGCACCUGCAACUUCAGUAACAUCAGCAACUAUUACUGAAGCGCCUGCACGAGUUGUUGGCCUCUUAGCGACCUUGCAAGAACCAUUCGUAGAACAACUCAAUGACAGAAACAGCUUGGAAUUUAGGAAUCUCCAGUUAAGAGUUGUGACUUUGUUGGACAUAAUCUACAGAGCCAGAUUUGGCUUCCUUUUUGUCCGCACUUUCGUGAUCUUUUUCAGACCAGGUUCAGCAGUAACACGAUCAUUGACCACUGAAGCAGAGGUCGGCAUUGAGUUCAAUCGAACUGCUUCGGCUGCUGAAAUUCCACAGGCUAAUGAGGUUGCACAGACCUUAGUAGACGCUGUGACUAACCCCAAUAAUACCUUCAACCUCUCUAUUGAUGCUGCUUCUGUCACUGUAAUUCAAAUAAACAUUACAUCAAAUUCGACCGCUGCACCCACUACUUUGAAUUCUACAGCUAAUGCGAGUAUGAGUACUACAACCACAACUCCAACCAUCACAAUUGCGGUGGUACCUGCAACUGCUGCACCUACAACAGCAGCACCUACAACAUCUGAGGCGGUCACAAUAAGGCAAUUGAGGUUCAGAUCUGCUGGAGAGACAUUUACCACUGACUUGCUGAAUCCAGCAUCUGCACCGUUUCAAAGAAGAGCCUCAUUGAUAACAUCAACACUCGGGCCGUUCUACCAAAGAGCAUUUCCUACGUUCCGCUUCUUAACAGUGAAUUUAUUCAGUAAUGGAUCAAUCAUCAACAACAUGGCCAUUGGAUUUGCAUCAACUUCUGUUCCUAAUGGCAAUCAGAUUGGAAACGUUUUGGUCGAAGCAGCUUCAACCGUCACAGCCUUCAAUAUUGACCCCAACUCCAUUGUUGUGGAUGGCUUACAGGUCUCAAAUGGAGUAAGCCACAAGAUCAGUCUCAUCACUGCAUCCUUUCUUGCUCUGACGUCAUGGCUGCUGACGAGUCAGCAAUAGCAUCAUCGCUGACUACUGUUAGAAUAGGCCUGGUUGUAUGACCGCCAUUACUGGCAUGAAAAAUUAUUUCCUAACUCUUGUCCAUCUUUGGAUAAACAUACUAUCCAAUGUAAUUUUGCAUUGACCGCACACCACAAUGACAGCGGAAUAGAUGUGUCUCUUGAUCACGUUUUCGGCUGAGAAUUGACCAAAAAAAAUAUGCAGCCAAUUUUUAUAAAGCCAGAUAGAAUACCAUUUAGCCCUGUUUAUUAUCAAUCCCAACUGUGAACAAAUACACAGACACAGAUUUGUAUUAUCACGAUACGCAUUACUUUGCCUCUUUAUUAUAUAUAUUCAAACACCACACGUCAGGAUUAAUUCAUCUUAAAGUAAAACCUAAUCUACAAAAUGUAUUCAAUAUUUGAUUUAAAAAAAUGUGUUUAUGGAAUGUGUAAUGGAAAAAGUUAUUGACAAUAUAUUUUUAAAUGUUGUUAGUGUCC